UACAGAGGAGCCAAGCGUUGUCCGGAUUGACUGGGCGUAAAGCGCACGCAGGCGGACGCGCGCGUGGGGUGUGAAAUCUGGCCGCUUAACGGCCAGGCGCCAUCCCAUACGGCGCGUCUGGAGUGAUGCAGAGGUCGGUGGAAUUGCCGGUGUAGUGGUGAAAUGCGUAGAUAUCGAGAGGAACACCAGCGGCGAAGGCGGCUCACUGGGCUCCACCUGACGCUGAGGCGCGAAAGCGUGGGGAGCAAACCGG
rnacentral:rRNA from 1 species